GACGAACGCUGGCGGCGUGCCUAAUACAUGCAAGUAGGACGCAGUUGCGAACGGGUGAGUAACGCGUAGGUCACUGCCUAUGGGAGGGGGAUAGCUAUUGGAAACGAUAGCUAAUACCGCAUACUAGUAGAUGGACCUGCGUUGUAUUUGCUAGUAGGUAGGGUAAUGGCCUACCUAGGCGCCGAUACAUAGCCGCGCUGGGAGGGUGGACGGCCACACUGGGACUGGGACACGGCCCAGACUCCUACGGGAGGCAGCAGUAGGGAAUCUUCGGCAAUGGGGGGAACCCUGACCGAGCAACGCCGCGUGAGUGAAGAAGGUUUUCGGAUCGUAAAGCUCUGUUGUUAAGGAAGCGGUACUUAACCAGAAAGGGACGGCUAACUACGUGCCAGCAGCCGCGGUAAUAC
rnacentral:rRNA from 1 species